rnacentral:rRNA from 1 species
AGUGGGGAAUAUUGCACAAUGGGCGCAAGCCUGAUGCAGCCAUGCCGCGUGUGUGAAGAAGGCCUUAGGGUUGUAAAGCACUUUCAGUCGUGAGGAAAGGUGUGUGCUUAAUACGUACAUACUGUGACGUUAGCGACAGAAGAAGGACCGGCUAACUCCGUGCCAGCAGCCGCGGUAAUACGGAGGGUCCGAGCGUUAAUCGGAAUUACUGGGCGUAAAGCGCGCGUAGGUGGAUUGGUCAGUCAGAUGUGAAAGCCCAGGGCUCAACCUUGGAACUGCAUCUGAUACUGCUAGUCUAGAAUACAGUAGAGGGUAGUGGAAUUUCCUGUGUAGCGGUGAAAUGCGUAGAUAUAGGAAGGAACACCAGUGGCGAAGGCGACUACCUGGACUGAUAUUGACACUGAGGUGCGAAAGCGUGGGGAGCAAACAGGAUUAGAUACCCUGGUAGUCCACGCCGUAAACGAUGUCUACUAGCCGUUGGAAGACUUGAUCUUUUAGUGGCGAAGCUAACGCGAUAAGUAGACCGCCUGGGGAGUACGGCCGCAAGGUUAAAACUCAAAUGAAUUGACGGGGGCCCGCACAAGCGGUGGAGCAUGUGGUUUAAUUCGACGCAACGCGAAGAACCUUACCAACUCUUGACAUCCAGAGAAGAGGCUAGAGAUAGCUUUGUGCCUUCGGGAGCUCUGAGACAGGUGCUGCAUGGCUGUCGUCAGCUCGUGUUGUGAAAUGUUGGGUUAAGUCCCGUAACGAGCGCAACCCUUGUCCUUAUUUGCCAGCACGUAAUGGUGGGAACUCUAAGGAGACUGCCG